AAACGGGCCCUUCUCAGGGCCACAAAAUAGUAUAAAACGAUAUUAAU
rfam:Acyrthosiphon pisum strain LSR1 Contig21701, whole genome shotgun sequence.